rnacentral:rRNA from 1 species
AAUUUGAUCUUGGUUCAGGAUGAACGCUAGCUACAGGCUUAACACAUGCAAGUCGAGGGGCAGCAUUGGGAUAGCUUGCUAUUCAGAUGCGACCGGCGCACGGGUGAGUAACGCGUAUCCAACCUUCCUGCCAGUAGGGUACAGCCCGGCGAAAGUCGGAUUAAUGCCCUAUGUUCUUCAAUGCGGACAUCUAAGUUGAAGGAAAGAUUCAUCGCUGGCAGAUGGGGAUGCGUCCGAUUAGCUUGCCGGCGGGGUAACGGCCCACCGGGGCGACGAUCGGUAGGGGUUCUGAGAGGAAGGUCCCCCACACUGGUACUGAGACACGGACCAGACUCCUACGGGAGGCAGCAGUGAGGAAUAUUGGUCAAUGGGCGUAAGCCUGAACCAGCCAAGUAGCGUGCAAGGAUGACGGCCCUACGGGUUGUAAACUGCUUUUAUGCGGGGAUAAAGUGCGGCACGUGUGCCGCUUUGCAGGUACCGCAUGAAUAAGGACCGGCUAAUUCCGUGCCAGCAGCGGC